CCCAGACUCCUACGGGAGGCAGCAGUGGGGAAUAUUGCACAAUGGGGGAAACCCUGAUGCAGCGACGCCGCGUGAGCGAAGAAGUAUUUCGGUAUGUAAAGCUCUAUCAGCAGGGAAGAAAAAAAUGACGGUACCUGAGUAAGAAGCACCGGCUAAAUACGUGCCAGCAGCCGCGGUAAUACGUAUGGUGCAAGCGUUAUCCGGAUUUACUGGGUGUAAAGGGAGCGUAGGCGGCGCGUUAAGUCUGAUGUGAAAACCCGAGGCUCAACCACGGGAGUGCAUUGGAAACUGGCGGGCUGGAGUGCCGGAGAGGUAAGUGGAAUUCCUAGUGUAGCGGUGAAAUGCGUAGAUAUUAGGAGGAACACCAGUGGCGAAGGCGGCUUACUGGACUGUAACUGACGUUGAGGCUCGAAAGCGUGGGGAGCAAACAGGAUUAGAUACCCCCGUAU
rnacentral:rRNA from 1 species